rnacentral:rRNA from 2 species
AGACCCGAAACCCGGUGAUCUAGCCAUGGGCAGGUUGAAGGUUGGGUAACACUAACUGGAGGACCGAACCGACUAAUGUUGAAAAAUUAGCGGAUGACCUGUGGCUGGGGGUGAAAGGCCAAUCAAACCGGGAGAUAGCUGGUUCUCCCCGAAAGCUAUUUAGGUAGCGCCUCGUGAAUUCAUCUCCGGGGGUAGAGCACUGUUUCGGCUAGGGGGCCAUCCCGGCUUACCAACCCGAUGCAAACUGCGAAUACCGGAGAAUGUUAUCACGGGAGACACACGGCGGGUGCUAACGUCCGUCGUGAAGAGGGAAACAACCCAGACCGCCAGCUAAGGUCCCAAAGUCAUGGUUAAGUGGGAAACGAUGUGGGAAGGCCCAGACAGCCAGGAUGUUGGCUUAGAAGCAGCCAUCAUUUAAAGAAAGCGUAAUAGCUCACUGGUCGAGUCGGCCUGCGCGGAAGAUGUAACGGGGCUAAACCAUGCACCGAAGCUGCGGCAGCGAACGUAUCACCCAAGACAACUUUACGGAGUUGACGAUUGACGGAGCGAAGCGACGUCAAAGCGUUCAUUAAAGUCGAGUUGGCUUAGGGAUACGUUCGUUGGGUAGGGGAGCGUUCUGUAAGCCUGUGAAGGUGUGUCGUGAGGCAUGCUGGAGGUAUCAGAAGUGCGAAUGCUGACAUAAGUAACGAUAAAGCGGGUGAAAAGCCCGCUCGCCGGAAGACCAAGGGUUCCUGUCCAACGU